rnacentral:lncRNA from 1 species
AAUCAGAGCUGUAGCUGCUGGCCUACACUACAGCCACAGCAAUGCUGGAUCCGAGCCGCGUGUGCAACCUACACCACAGCUCAUGGCAAUGCCGGAUCCUUAACCCACUGAGUAACACCAGGGAUCAAAUCUGUGUCCUCGUGGAUACUACCCAGGUUUGUUAACCACUGAGCCACAACAGAAACUCCUCCAAAAUAAUGUAUUUUAAAUUGUUUUCUUGGGAAAGAGGUGGGUAUUUCUUUUUCGUUUGUUUCUGUUUCCAAAAAAACUGAAUCCAAAGACUGUCAUUAGGACAUGCAUUUGUCAUAGUUCAGACAAAUGGCAGUAUGUAAUUCAUAUUUUGAGAGUUUAAAAACAGCAGACUCACAAAAAAUAUCUCAUAUUUCUUUUUCUAGCUCUCAGUUAUGUUCAAAUAAAAUCUAUUACCACUUUCAAAUAUUUUGUGAACAUUCAGCAGUAUAAUUCAUUUUAUAUUUCAAAAUACUGCAUGACAAUCAAUGUUUUUAAAGUAUUUGUAAUUUUAAAGUAGUACCUGAAGAUGAUUAGGUACUACAUACCUAUUUUCAAUACCUAAAAAUUCUUAAACAGCCCAAUUUCCAAGCUCUGAUAUAUGGAUGAUGUAAGUCAUCAUUUCUUAUAAAAAUAAGUAAACCUAUUGCAAUCAAGAAUUAAACAGGAGUUCCCGGCAUGGCUCAGUGUUCAGUGGUUAACGAACCAGACUAGUACCCAGGAGGACGUGGGUUUGAUCCCUGGCUUUGCUCAGUGGGUUAAGGAUCCAGCAUUGCCUUGAGCUGUGGGGUAAGCUCCAGACACAGCUCGGAUCCGGCUGUGGUGUAGGUUGGCAGCUAGAACUCUGAUUCGACCCCUAGCCUGGGAACCUCCAUAUACCAUGGGUGCGCCCUAAAAAAGACCAAAACCAUCUGAAUAAUAAAGAUACUGACAUAAGGCUGAUUAAAAGACUUAAAAGACGUGUCUUAUAAAAGAAAUGUAUUUCCAAGUGUAAGUAUAACUAAAAUGUUUGCUUUGAACAGCAGAAACAAAACAAGGCUCUUCAUGAAAAUGACCAUAACAGGAAAUGUUUUAUAUAGUUGCAGAAGAAACAACUCCUCUUUAGAACUCAGCCAGAAAUUCUUAAAGUUAAUUCAACAGAGACAAAGCAAUGUAGUUCCCCAGUACUUCAAAAUAUGGCCAAGCCCUGCAUACUGAUGUCUUAAUAAGUGGUAGGUAGAGUUGACACUGUCAGGUAUAAGGAGAGCUACAGCUUCCAUGAUAAUAAGAGAGCAAUGACAAAAAUGUCAAAGGUGUAGACACCUAGAAUGUUAAUUUAUUAGAAUGUGACUUUACACUGAUUAAUUAUAUGCUCCUCAAAAUAUCUGGAGAGCAUAAGAAAAGUUAAUUGAACCAUUCCAUUUUGUAUAUGCAGUUUUAAAUAAGUGAUAGAGAAUUGAUUUUAAAAUUAUAAGUAUAUAGAGUGAAAUCUAUAAACUCUAAGUGUUCCAUAUUAAGAUAUUAGUAAUGAAGAUGAUGAUGACUAUAAAAUAUUCACAGAAACAUUCACACUCACUCAGAUUCCACUGAACAUGACAGUGUAGAAGCAGAAAACUUAAGAGCUGUUUAAAAUAUUGAAGAUCAUCUGUUUGGGACUGAUCUGAAGACUACAAAGUCCUUUUGAGAAUGACACAUGGUUAAAAUAAAUACAGACCCUAACAACGAAAAUCACAAGUAAGAUGAUCUUUCAGAAUUAUUUCCACUUCGAAGAAAUCAACUUUCCAAGUUUUCUCAAACAGAUCAGAAAUACAUUAUUUAAAGACAUAUGCAAUAUGCUAAUCCAAGUAGUUCCUUAACUGAACAAAUUACUGGGCUCCUACAAUGACCCAGUAGGAUACUGAAAACUGGAAAAGAAGUAGAUAAGGCAUCGCCAUUUCUCCAAAGAUUCACAUCUGGAAAAUCUCUACCUUCUUUAUAAUCAACGUGGGGCUCCAAAAUAAAGCUGUGUGCUUUGAAAAAAAUAUUCUCAGAGUCACACUCAGUAAUUAAGUUAGCCUUCCCUAUUAACUAACCUAAAAUACCAUAAUUUUCUAUAAAAUCUCAUUUUCUGCUGUCAGACUACUUCAAUGAUUUCACAAAACUAGUGUGAUGCUUGUUCCUCCUGACCUAUAAACUAGGAGCACUUCUUGACCCCUGGCUGACGUAGGGUGUCUUUCUCAGGUGGCAGUGCUAUUUUCUGUCUUCAUCUAAAAUAGAUAUUAAGACCUCCUAAACUGCUGACCACAUCACCCACCCACAUUUCUGUGAGUGGAAAUUUGAAUUUGAGGUAACAGUAGUUAUAGUACCCUUCAAAGGCAUUUAUGAGAUUGCUUUCAUAGAGUCAAGGUAUAAAAUCAACUUUUAACAAAUCUAAGCAGAAACGUAAAAAUACCUUAAAGUAAACAAAUGAGUUCUAGACUUAAAUUGGUUAUAACCUGAUUAAAUGCAUGAAUGUAAGUUAAAAACUGAAUCUGGGGGAUUUAGCCAAGGAAGCCAAGACAAAAGACUCUGAGCCUAUA